AUUAUCAACCGAAGCAAGUUUCCUCACAAUCAGCUGGAAGUGCUUGCUAAAAGCCGACAAUGUUCGGUCUGUGGUUCGGUUACGCUUGGGCAUUGUUAAAUAUUUUUAAAAUAGCUUUUAUGUCCAGUGUGAAUUGUGUCAGUAUUGAAAAUACAACCCGGAAAUACAAAUGAUAGAAAUAUAUGAGACCAGCGUAAUGAAAUUCGGGCUAAUAUUACUUCCCUGUGGAUACUUUGUCUCAUAAUGAAAACAUCAGCGGACAACAGUCCAACAUCCUCCCCAUGAGAGACGUCCAGCAUGUGCAGUUCGAACAUUAUUUCCUAUUACUGAAAAUGUGGCAGACAUAGCGCACAUGAUGCACUGAAAUGGAGAGGGGACGAGACAGAGAAGAAAGGAUUGGAGUUAAGUGACAAGAAAAAGAGGGAUACUGAGGGAUACUGGAAACAGGACUGCAAUGUUGGAGCGGAGAGAUAAAGAACGAGAGCUAGAUAAAGAAAUGUACAACUGGAGAGGAGCAGAGUUCAUUUGGGAGAGCUGAAGGGAUACAGGGAUACGGACUCCCUUUGUUUGGCUCUGACGUUGUCAUCCCAUGCAGCAUACCAUCCCAUGUAGCUCCACUACUCCACUCUCUCCUGCUGAAUAAUGGAGGCUACUGUAGGUGUGUGUCUGGCAAAGUAUUGUGCUCCCAGGUACUGUCCAAGAGAUUUGUGUUGUUUAUGGUGCCAUAAAACUAAGAUGCUUAGCAGCAAACAUUGAGAGUAGAUACUGGGAAAGGAACAAUUGCUCUUGAAACAAUUGAGUUGUUAAUCUUUCUCAUUAGCUUUGUGAGAUUCUCAAGGUAUUAGUUCUCAGUCCAGUGAAAAUGGGUUUGAUGUUUUUAUGGGUUUGAUGUUACCAGUAUUUUCUUCACUUAUUUCUUGGCAACACUAUGGGCCAACAUGGUGUAAUUGGGUGUUUUAGAAAUGAACACAAUAGAUCAACUGAGAGCAGAAUGGAGAGACCCCUUAAAUGGCAGGUUAUGUUGUUUAGAAAUAGAGAGACAGCCAUAAUAUGACACUUUAAAUAUCUCUAUUCCUUUGAAAUGUUUGUGAGUGUAAUGUUUAAUGUUCAUUUUUGAUUGUUUAUUUCACUUUUGUUUAUUAUCUAUUUCACUUGCUUUGGAAAUGUAAACAUAUGUUUCCCAUGCCAAUAAAGCCCUU